UACGGUGAAUACGUUCCCGGACCUUGUACACACCGCCCGUCAAGCAAUGGAAGCCGGGUGUACCUAAAGUCGAUAACCGUAAGGAGUCGCCUAGGGUAAAACUGGUGACUGGGGCU
rnacentral:rRNA from 1 species